rnacentral:lncRNA from 12 species
CAACACUGGUUCUAUAAGCCAAAUUUCCAUGCAUAUACUCAUACUUUUGGAACAUUACUUUGCAGCAGAAAGAGAACAUACACCCUGCAGCCAAGAAGAAAAGCCCAGUUAUUAAUGGAAGACUUUGAUCACAUAAUCAUGAUUUUUAAAAGUCCUAUUAAGAGAAUGAUAGCCCUGGAGAGAGUCCUAUGCAGUUGGAUGUUGAGAAUUUCACACCUAAGCAAGACCUACAGCAGCACCAGGACCAUUUUCUCCAUGUCUAUUAGUAGAUACAAG